ensembl:lncRNA
GUGAGAGAGCAUCACGACUGUGUCUCACAGCCAGGGAGAUAUAUGGAGGAAAAAUGCGAGAGAGACGACAGUCUAUCUCUCUCUGUGUGAUGGUUUGAUCUGAUUUCAUUUAUUUCUUGGCUAGUCUGUAGUCCUAUUAGUUUACUGCGGGAGGUGACUUGAGGACACAGCAGUCAAGCAGAAUGAUCAAUAGCAGCUGGCAUUGAAAGUAUGAAGAAGUUAAUUGCACAUUUCACUCAUCACUGCUGAAGUAACCUCUUCUAACCAUCAUCAGUUACUAUGGAGUAUAGCCUACCUGGCUGGCAUAAAAAUGAACCACGGGAAUAACAUCCUCCAUUUGCAAUCUAAGU